UUUGAUGGCGACCGGCGCACGGGUGAGUAACACGUAUCCAACCUGCCGAUGACUCGGGGAUAGCCUUUCGAAAGAAAGAUUAAUACCCGAUGGCAUAGUUCUUCCGCAUGGUAGAACUAUUAAAGAAUUUCGGUCAUUGAUGGGGAUGCGUUCCAUUAGGUUGUUGGCGGGGUAGCGGCCCACCAAGCCUUCGAUGGAUAGGGGUUCUGAGAGGAAGGUCCCCCACAUUGGAACUGAGACACGGUCCGAACUCCUACGGGAGGCAGCAUG
rnacentral:rRNA from 1 species